AGGAGGAACAACUGCAGUGGCGGCGGCCAGCUCUGGAGCCCUGGAUUCAGCUCCCGCAGUAACUGCAGAGCUCUCCGUCUGCAGGGCCUGGAGGCUCCGGGGCGGG
rnacentral:pre_miRNA from 1 species